rnacentral:lncRNA from 1 species
UUUGAUUUUAAUAAAAACAGGUUGAUGUUUUUGUGAUCCAUUUGAUGAUGCUUAAGCCCGAUAAUUGUGAUCAGUAAUAAUGGGCUUGAACACUAAUUCUGAUUUGUGUAGAAACAAAGUGUAGGCCCAACUCUAGAGUCCAUGAUGGGUGGUACUAGGGUUGUGAUCUUAUAUAAGAUUGGCUAGGUCCCCUUUGCCGUCACGCACAAACAUAGUAAGCUCAUUUGUUGUCUUACCCAUCAAAGACCUCAAAGACUGGAGCAUGUGAUCAGGCAGAGGAAGACCUUGUCUAAUAUAUCGAUGUUUUCGAUAUUGGUGCGCUUUCGGUAACUGGUUU